rnacentral:tRNA from 1 species
GGGGUUGUAGCUUAGUAGUAGAGCGCUCACCUAGUAUGUGUGAAACCCUGGGUUUGAUCCUCAGCACCA